GGGGGCGAAUGGUGUCGACGGCAAGAGGAGGGUCGUGAAGAGCGGGCCGAGGUCCCCGCAAACCUCGUUAAACAGGCGGGAAAACAAUAAUUGCCAACGAAAAUUACGCACUGGCUGCUUAGUUAGCGGCCACGUCUUCGAUGUCGCCGCCACCGCGAUAUCGACAGGCGUCACAAUAGGUGGCUAGUUCUCAGGCAGCUCCUCCCUGCCUGAGGGGACACUUCAGGAGGAUAGGCAAGCGCGAUCCUGUCCCUGGGAGAGCGCUUAGCCGAAAACUAAAACAGGGACUAUGCCCGUAGAACUUCACGGCUGGCCCUUGUCGGACGGGGGUUCGAUUCCCCCCGCCUCCACCA
rnacentral:tmRNA from 1 species